rnacentral:snoRNA from 1 species
AAGAGCAUGCUUUGAGGGUCAUCUCUAUGGUCUGAUCCGCACUCGAGAAGUUUCUCUGACUGCGUAGAGCACGGAAACCACCAGGAGGAGGCGCAGCGUCCUCUCCCGAGCGUGUGUUGGUGUCCUUUUGCCGCAACUGCCGUUUGAGAUUGAUGACCGUCCUUCUCUUCCUUUGGGAGAGAGAGAGGACACUGUCUGAGCAGC